GCCACAGUUGUGCCUCCCCUGGUCGGCAGGUAGGGGUUGGAGGCCUGUUCUUGCCAAGCAGCACAAGGGGAGGAAGGUAUGGCCAUGAAAAAACAUGAAAGCCUCUUCCAAAAGCACCAAAUGCCAGUCCUGCUUGGGAAGCAGAGCUGUCUGUGGGAAGAAACCUACCUGGAAGAUGUCACUGGCGCACUUCCGACAGAGGUUGUGCUGGCAGGGCAGGAUGACCACUGGCUUGGUGAACAUCUCCAAACAGAUGGGGCAGAUCAGCUGUUUCUCCAGGUCAAUGGAGACCGAAGGGCUUGCCCCAGCCUGUGCAGCCACAUCCUGCAGCCUAAUAGACAUUCUGUUGUGGGCGAGCAGCUGUGGCCACGACAGGCAGGAUGUCAUUUUGCCCAUGUGUUUUGGGAGGCUCCAGGAUCCUACCUUUCCAAGGUGUGGAGUACACGUGUACAUGUACAAGACAAUAGGAGUGAUGGCUGCUCUGGAGCUCAAACACUUCAGGGUGUAAACAUCCUGCCACCUUGAAAACCAGACUGUCGGACAAUUCAGACUUGUUGUGAAUUAUAACAUCUGUGUUGUCUCACCCUUCUCAUGAGACUGAAAAUAGAAGAAAAGUUUUUAAAAAGCAUCUCAGUUGCCCCACCAGAAAAAGGUCAUAAAAAGUUGCCCCAUCAGAAAAAGGUAUAAUCUGACACCAGACAAAGAAAAUUGCCCACCUAUAACUGUGCUUGACUUUGUUCUGGUAAGAUUUUGGUCUUAGGAGCUAUAACAUAAAAAUCCAACAUGACUUUGUGCCAUUUGUGCACAUUAUCUCCAUGGGCAGGUUAAAUAUGCAUGAAAAACAUUUGAAUUUCCUGAUGAGAAAAAAAAAAAACAGAAGAAACACAGUGUGAAAGGCUUUCAUUUGUGCUGCUAGAGAAUAGGUACUAAUUGUAUAUGCUCUCUCUCUGAUAGUUUGAUUCAAAUAUAUUUUAGUUUUGGGCACUGCUGUGUUUAUAUCUGUUUAUUAGACACUGAUAUCCCUUUCAGCUUGGCACUUGUUCCAGAGUUAUUUUUAAAAUGACAAUUUCCCAGAUAAUUUGUGACAUGUGAUGCCUGAUCUUAAGGGAAAGCCAUCUGUGCUUCUAGUUGCCAAUAAUUUAUCACACAACUGUACAAGCAAUAAAUAUCUCAUCUUCAAAUUUAAGCCAAAGUCCCUGCAUUACUGUAUAAAAUCACUUUGCCACCAUACUGUACAUGUAAUCAGAAUAUUUUCUUCUCUUUCAGUCAAUAACUACAAUACUUUUUCAGUUCAGUCUUGUAGAAACCUUUAAUGCUUAUUCUGCCUUAUGACUGUAUAGGGCUUGCUUCUGAAAAAUGCAGUAGAGCAGCUGAGUGAGUUCCCCAUGCAUCCAGGGACAGACCCCAAUUCUGAAGCAGGGCCCUCAAUCUGCAUGCACCACCAGUCUGGAAACUGUGCACUUUGGAAAAUGUAAAAGUGAAGGUUUUCAAGGAUUUCUGC